AUGACUUUGUGCCAAGACUCAUGCAGCUUUUUGAAAGUCCUCANCACAUCUCUCAUCUUAUUUCACCUAAUGAUUUUGAUUUAUUUGCAGGAGGUUUUCAGGAAUCAAUUCCUUCAGGGCUUACUUGAAUUAUCGAAGCAAACUUCAACAAAUGUCAAAAAAUUGGUGUGUUCAUCAUGGGCUCUGCUUAUGGAACACCAGUUAAUUCCAGAGCUAUAUUUGGGAACUGCUAUUAAUUUCGUCCUGCUAGCUAACAAUGAGUUGGACGAAGAUCUUGCUCUGGAGGCCUGUAAAUUUUGGUCGUACUGUGAUUCCAGCAAAGGGUUGCAGGAGGUCUUGCCAGAAUUAAUCCCAACUUUGGUGCAAAACAUGGUUUAUACUGAUCUUGAUGAUUCUCUGGCUGAUAUUAAGGAAUAUGAAUCCAUUUCCAUCAGGGACCAGGAUCUGAAGCGCCGCUUCCAUGCGUCUCGAUUACAUAGAUUUGAAACUGGAAAGGAGAACGCUGAUGAUGAUGAUGAUGAUGCUGUAAAUGCUUGGAAUUUGCGGAAAUACAGCACUGAAGGGUUAGACCGUCUUUCUAAGGUUCUUAGGGACGACAUUCUUCCUAUUUUAAUGCCCUUGAUCAAGGAUAAGAUCGCUCAGACAGAUGAUGAUGGAUGGAAGGAUAGGGAAGUUGCUGUUCUAUGUAUUAAUACUAUAGCAGAGGGAUGCAUGACUGGAUUGUAUUCCCACACUCCGCAGAUUUUCCACAUGCUGAUCCGGUUACUUGAUGAUAAGUUUCCUCUUGUACGGAGAAUCACCUGUCAAACCAUUUCUCGAUAUAGCAAGUUCAUUGUUCAGAGCCGUGACCGUGAACAAUUUGCUAAGAUCAUCACGGGCCUGCUUAGAAGGACAUUAGAUACUAACAGAAAAGUUCAGGAGGCUGCACGUUCGGCCUUCCUGACGAUUGGGAAGGAUGCUGCAGAAUCAAAUGGAAUGGAAAUUAUUUUGGAGCAACUCAUCUUAGAACUUGGGAAACACCAGGCGCGAGACCUUUGGUUAAUUUCUGAGGCACUUUGCAGUCUUAUUGAUGUUGUUGGAGCAAUGGUAAACAAGGCAGAACAUCUGCACAUAUUUGUUCCUCUGUUGAUCAAGAAAUGGCAGCAACUUCAGAAAUCUAACAAAGAUAUCUUGCCCCUACUUGAAUGCUUUACAUCUAUCGCACAGGCAGCGGGAUCAGGAUUUUUUCAGUUUGCUAAGCCAGUGUUUCAGAACUGCCUAGAUCUUAUCAAGUUCUGGCAGUUGGCAAAUGCUGAUCGUGCCGCACCUCAUGCGUCAGACGAUGAGGAUUUCGUCGUCUACUCAUUGGACCUUUUGUUAGUACUUGCAGAAGCACUUGGUGCUGAUACUGAAAGCCUGGUCGCGCAAAGUGAUUUGAUCGAUCUCAUUAUGCGAUGCUGCAAGGAUGAAGUAGCUGGUAUUCGACAAAGUGCUCUGGCCCUUCUGGGCGGAAUUUCUAUGGUUUGCCAUACACAUGUACUUCCAAGAUUUGAAGAGUUCCUUGAAGUUGCAGCAGAGCAACUGAUAAUGCAAUCCGUGAAGGCUGCACCAUCUGUAGCAAACAGUGCAUGCUGGAUCAUCGGGGAACUGGCAAUGAAGUUCGGCCAAGAAACUUCAUCACCAGUGGUGACCACCAUUCUAUCAUGUCUGCUUCCUAUUCUAAGGUCUUCAGAGGGACUCGACAAUAUAGUUGUUGGAAAUACAGCGAUAACUCUUGGAAGGCUUUCGUUGGUCUGGCCAAUGACCGUGUCAACUCAUCUUAAACGGUCUAUGCAAGCAUGGUGCAAUGCCUUGUGCAUGGCAAGAGGUGAUUUAGAAAAAGAAGACGGUUUUUCUGGUCUGUGCGAAAUGGUGGAAGCAAACCUAUCAAGGGCUGUGGGUUCACUGGCUCAUGUGUGCAGAGCCUUUGCAAGCCUAAAGGAUAUACAAAGUGAAGCCCUUCCCAGUAAAGUGCGCGGUGUGCUGAACAAUCUAAAACAGAGUGCUGGUGAUGCUCGCUGGGAGCAAUGCAUGUCCACUCUAGAUCCAUCGGAGGUGCAGAGGCUAGCGAGUCUGAUGGCGGAGACCGAGCCGCAAUGA
rnacentral:rRNA from 1 species